UAACGGCCCACCAAAGCAACGAUGGGUAGCUGGUCUGAGAGGACGACCAGCCACACUGGGAGUGAGACACGGCCCAGACUCCUACGGGAGGCAGCAGUGAGGAAUUUUCCGCAAUGGGCGAAAGCCUGACGGAGCGACGCCGCGUGCACGAGGAAGGUCUUCGGAUCGUAAAGUGCUGUCGAGGGGGACGAUUAUGACGGUACCCCUGGAGGAAGCCCCCGCUAACUACGUGCCAGCAGCCGCGGUAAGACGUAGGGGGCGAGCGUUAUUCGGAAUUAUUGGGCGUAAAGCGUGCGUAGGAGGAUUCGUAAGUCGGGGUUGAAAAAUCCCUGGCUCUUCUCGGGGCACGGCCUCGAUACUGCGGAUCUCGAGUCGAGAAGAGGGUAGUGGAAUUCCCGGUGUAGCGGUGAAAAA
rnacentral:rRNA from 1 species